AUCUCCAGCGUUGCCCUGAGCUUUAACUCGUAUAAUGAGCUCUUCAGAUGUGCAGUUCUACUGGGUGUUUGCUAAUUUCUGCUGGCUGAUCUGAAGGAGCAGAGUGGGGGAGUUGCG